rnacentral:lncRNA from 1 species
UUUAGAAUCUAAGAGAUGACCAUGUCAUUCACACAAUUCCAAUACUCAUAAUCUGGGGAUUUCAAAUUUGGAGGUUGACAACCUCUAUUGAUGAAGCCAAGCUUCUUCGUGGCUGAAAGAGAUAGAAGAAUGGAUCUUCUCCAUCCUGGAUACCCUCUACCUUCAAAUACAGAGUUGACUAGUGUCAUUCCAGGAGAUUCAAAAUUAUUGAGAUGGUAGAGAUGAUUAGCAUCAUAGGCUAUAGUUUUUGUAACACUGCUUGACUCAGCAGUAGCUUCUGCAGUUGUUUCAACCAUUUUAGGCUAUUGAUUUUGAG